CCCUUAGAUGUUCUGGGCCGCACGCGCGCUACACUGAUGCAUUCAACGAGUUUCUUCCUGGUCCGAGAGGAAUGGGUAACCCUUUGAAAGUGCAUCGUGAUAGGGAUAGACUAUUGCAAUUAUUGGUCUUCAACGAGGAAUUCCUAGUAGACGUAGUUCAUCAGACUGCAUCGAUUACGUCCCUGCCCUUUGUACACACCGCCCGUCGCUCCUACCGAUUGAAUGCUCAGGUGAGCCAUUCGGACUUUCAUCAUGCUGGUUUCCAGUUUUGAUGAAGGAAAGUCUUGCGAACCUUAUCAUUUAGAGGAAGGAGAAGUCGUAACA
rnacentral:rRNA from 1 species